rnacentral:rRNA from 1 species
GACGAACGCUGGCGGCGUGCUUAACACAUGCAAGUCGAACGGAAAGGCCCUGCUUUUGUGGGGUGCUCGAGUGGCGAACGGGUGAGUAACACGUGAGUAACCUGCCCUUGACUUUGGGAUAACUUCAGGAAACUGGGGCUAAUACCGGAUAGGAGCUCCUGCUGCAUGGAGGGGGUUGGAAAGUUUCGGCGGGUGGGGAUGGACUCGCGGCUUAUCAGCUUGUUGGUGGGGUAGUGGCUUACCAAGGCUUUGGCGGGUAGCCGGCCUGAGAGGGUGACCGGCCACAUUGGGACUGAGAUACGGCCCAGACUCCUACGGGAGGCAGCAGUGGGGAAUAUUGCACAAUGGGCGGAAGCCUGAUGCAGCAACGCCGCGUGCGGGAUGACGGCCUUCGGGUUGUAAACCGCUUUCGCCUGUGACGAAGCGUGAGUGACGGUAAUGGGUAAAGAAGCACCGGCUAACUACGUG